CCUACGGGAGGCAGCAGUGAGGAAUAUUGGUCAAUGGACGAGAGUCUGAACCAGCCAAGUAGCGUGAAGGAUGACUGCCCUAUGGGUUGUAAACUUCUUUUAUAUGGGAAUAAAAUGUUCCACGUGUGGGAUUUUGUAUGUACCAUAUGAAUAAGGAUCGGCUAACUACGUGCCAGCAGCCGCGGUAAUACGGAGGAUCCGAGCGUUAUCCGGGUUUAUUGGGUUUAAAGGGAGCGUAGGUGGAUUUUUAAGUCAGUUGUGAAAGUUUGCGGCUCAACCGUAAAAUUGCAGUUGAAACUGGCAGUCUUGAGUACAGUAGAGGUGGGCGGAAUUCGUGGUGUAGCGGUGAAAUGCUUAGAUAUCACGAAGAACUCCGAUUGCGAAGGCAGUUCACUGGACUGCAACUGACACUGAGGCUCGAAAGUGUGGGUAUCAAACAGGAUUAGAUACCCUGGUAGUC
rnacentral:rRNA from 1 species